AGCGAACGCUGGCGGCAUGCCUAACACAUGCAAGUCGAACGAACUCUUCGGAGUUAGUGGCGGACGGGUGCGUAACACGUGGGAACGUGCCCUUAGGUUCGGAAUAACUCAGGGAAACUUGUGCUAAUACCGAAUGUUCCCUUCGGGGGAAAGAUUUAUCGCCUUUAGAUCGGCCCGCGUCAGAUUAGCUAGUUGGUGGGGUAAAGGCUCACCAAGGCGACGAUCAGUAGCUGGUCGGAGAGGAUGAUCAGCCACAUUGGGACUGAGACACGGCCCAAACUCCUACGGGAGGCAGCAGUGGGGAAUAUUGGGCAAUGGGCGAAAGCCUGACGCAGCAAUGCCGCGUGAAUGAUGAAGGCCUUAGGAGUGUAAAACUCUUUCACCGGGGAUGAUAAUGACGGUACCGGGAGAAGAAGCGCCGGCUAACUUCGUG
rnacentral:rRNA from 1 species